rnacentral:rRNA from 1 species
GACGAACGCUGGCGGCGUGCUUAACACAUGCAAGUCGAACGGAAAGGCCCUGCUUGCAGGGUGCUCGAGUGGCGAACGGGUGAGUAACACGUGGGUGAUCUGCCCCUUACUUUGGGAUAAGCCUGGGAAACUGGGUCUAAUACUGGAUAGGACCAUGCUGUAGGUGGUGUGGUGGAAAGAUUAGUUUCGGUAAGGGAUGAGCUCGCGGCCUAUCAGCUUGUUGGUGGGGUAGUGGCCGACCAAGGCGUCGACGGGUAGCCGGCCUGAGAGGGUGGACGGCCAGAUUGGGACUGAGAUACGGGCCAGACUCCUACGGGAGGCAGCAGUGGGGAAUAUUGCACAAUGGGCGCAAGCCUGAUGCAGCGACGCCGCGUGGGGGAUGACGGCCUUCGGGUUGGAAACACCUUUCAGCCAUGACGACGCCCUUGUGGUGACGGUAGUGGUAGAAGAAGCACCGGCUAACUACGUG